rnacentral:misc_RNA from 1 species
CCGGUAUUCAGUUUCCUGUUGGUCGGAUUCAUCGGCAUCUGAAGCAAAGGGCAUCUGCCAAUGGGCGAGUUGGUGCCACUGCUGCUGUCUAUUUGGCUUCUAUUCUCGAGUAUCUGACAGCAGAGGUUCUUGAGUUGGCUGGAAAUGCAAGCAAGGAUCUGAAGGUCAAGAGGAUCACACCAAGGCAUCUGCAGUUGGCCAUUAGAGGUGAUGAAGAACUUGACACGCUCAUCAAGGGAACUAUUGCUGGUGGUGGAGUGAUCCCUCACAUCCACAAAUCU